UGUUUGAAAUAAGCAAAUAAAUAAAUAAAUAAAUAAAUAAAUAAAAAUAAAUAAACUCAACUCAGGUCAGUCAGAGCUUUAAUGAGAUUCACUUUGAAAACCCAGACCCACAUCCAGCAGGUGGGACUCAGCAGCAGCAUCUGGACAGAUGUUCCCUCCAGGAAGAGAUUCUCUCCCCCAGCAUUUUGAUCAGGGAGGAAAUGACAGACUGUAGGAAGAAAUGUGGACUUUUUUUGGUUCUGAUUCCCAGUCAGUCUCUGAUCUGCUAGUUUGAACCUCCUGAAUUUUCCCCAUCAGAAGUUCAUGGUCUGAUGUAAACAACCAGACUUUUCUAAACUCUAUUUCAUGGACUGGAAGGAUCUUAACUUUAUUCUGACACAAAAUGUCACCAGAUGUUCUGUGUGACCCGGUGAAGGUGAAACUCCCAGCCGCUUCCAGACCUGCAGGACUUUCUCCAGGUUUGGUUCUGACUCCCAGAGGUUCUGGUUUGGACUUGUUCGGGUCACAUGUCAUCAACUUCUAGUCAGAGUCUCUUCUGAAAUAAAAUCACUUAAAAAUGAA